rnacentral:lncRNA from 1 species
GAGUUGCAUCUUUUUGCCUCGGGAGCCUGGCGCAUCGGAGCUUCCCUGCACUCAUCCACGCGGGAUGGUCACCUCCACUCCGGAAUGGGCGUGAGUCGGGCAAAGGGCUCGGUUGGCUGUGCAUAUAAACUGGGCAUGUGCUCUUGGAAAUAAAUUUAUAAAAUCCCCCGAGAAAGUAAAGUGGGGACAGCCGAGAGGGCCCCACACACCUCCUUAUGGACACCCAAGGCUGAGGCAGCUCUGUUUCCAGCCCCUUCCUCACCGGACGCCAGGUUCACCCCAGGCCGUGAGAACCCAGGCCUGAGGCAGCGCAGCCAAAGGCCCCGAUCCGGCCCAGAGCCGUGCCCUGAUUAGGCCCAAAGGAGAAGUCAGGAUCAGGAAGAGCAGAAAACAUCUGAGCAAUGAGACACGUUGGGAAUAAAGCUCCCGCCCACCGCAUGAUAACAGGCAGAGUUCCCAACCUCCAGAGGCACGUGACUUUAAAGACCAUAUCCUCACAAAAUAGGAUCAAGUAAAAGCUGCUCAGUGGUGAAGACGCGGAGCUGGACCAGCCCCGGUGCUGGGUGCAGCAGCCGCUGUGCAGGAGGCCGUGUCUGUCCUGUCCAAGAGAGUUGGAGUCAGAACCUCACCUGGAGCCCCACUCCUCCUAGAAUAGAGGAACGGCCCAGGCCACACCCCAGCCGCACCAGUACAGCAGCUGCUUUGCAAAGUGGAUGUCCGCAGGUGCUUCCAACGCAUGUCAGAACUAAGCUGGAGCCCUGUCCACGCUCCUUCGUGCUCUGUCGGGAGGCUCCGCAGGAGCUGGCCGCUGGGUGGGACGCCAGAAGGUGGCUUCAUCUUCCCCGCAGGCUGGGUGAAAAUUCAAAACCAAGGGAAAUUACUGCCGUCAGGGUUGCGGCUUCAGCCAGAGCUUGCCUCCCAGUCUCACACUCAUGCUCUCCUGUGGAAUCAGGCUCUGCGAUUCUUUUGCCCGGAGCAGAAAGGACCUGCGACACGGCCUGGGGAGACGGCUCCACCGUCUGAGGUAGCAGCAAACAAAGCAGCAGCAUGGAGGGUCAGGGGCGAGGGGAGCAGUCCCGGCUGUCUGCUGGCUUUCUGCUUUCUAAGCUUUUAUUUUCAUAGGGAGGAGAGAGAGGGCGCCUGAGUCUGACAAGAGGGUCUCAGCUCCCGUGCUGGCAACUCUCCUGCCGGCCACAGGGACCUCCGGGCCAUGGCGCCCGGCCGGCCUACUGGGUGACAAGCUUGGAGGGUGUGUGGAAGGGCCCAGCUGCUGUGAGGGUGCCGGUGUUCCCUCCCUCGCCUCCUGCCGCACCUGCUCUGAGCUGAGUUCUGCCAUCACAGAUGUGGGUUCGGCAGAGAGACCACCUGGCAAUGAGGCACACGUGUCCGGAUGGAGUGUCUGUAAGGGACGUUUGCUGAUGACUUGCCGAGGCUAUGGUAGAACCCGCCGGCCGUGGAAAGCAGGAGCUGGCACUGGCUGUAGCGCCCGGACCCCAGGCCUCCCGCCUGUGGCCCAGCUUCCUGGCUGCCUCAUAGCUCUAAAGCAAACGCCCUGGCCAAAGAGACGCAUCUCAUCCCCAGCAGUCCCCAGCUCCUGACGCAGCAUGGACCCCUCACUCGCUCCUCCAGGCAGCCCAGGGCCUAUGGUGAUAGAGCCUCUAGAGUGGCGGACCAGGUUCUGAGGGUCUUUAAAACAGUCACCAAUGGGAAGUUUUGUUCACAGAAAUUUAACAUUGAGAAACAAAUGGAAACAUAACAGAAAAGACCGAUUACGUUUCCCAAGUUGGAAAGAAUCGGGUUCCAUCUGCCCAGGAGAAACAGGCGUCUCCACGUGCUGGGAGUGGCGCGUGGGAAGUAGAGGGAGUCUCAAGAACAGCAAGCCAGGGGCGCUGACCUGCAGGGAGGGGCGCCAGGGGCCCAGGGUGGCCUCUCAGGUUCACGAACCAGGGAAGGGACCCCAGCAGACGUGGACUUGCCCACAUCGCCCCUGGGGGAGGCUCUCCAGCCAGCUGAGGACAUACCCGGGGCUCCAGCCCCAUCCACAGCCUCCCUCCCGGUCCGUGAAGGAUUGGUCUCACCCAUGGCAGGAGGUUCUCACCGCGUGGCCUGUGGGUCCUGGCAUGGGGUAAGUUCCCAGGGACUCUGCCAGUGGGUCUGCAGAUCAGAACUACGUUUGUGACAAAGCUAAGUGACACUGUGUGACAAUAUGUCACUACUUUUGUGACAAUGCCUUCUCCAGCGGGCGACAUCUGCGAAUGGCGGCUCCGUAUUGGGCACAGGGCGGCAGCUCCACACCCUGCCUUCCCACCACCAGCACUUACUGUGCAGUAGAAACAAUAGCUCCACUUUUAAAAGGCCCCCUGGGGCAGAAAAACUAUCCGUUCUGUUCUAUCUCAGCCUUGCACACAGCACAGCAGGGUGCAUGGCCACAGGUGGGGCAGUACACGGGAAAUGCAGGCAGAGUGCGUGGACCACACAUGGAAGCUGACGGGACUGGGAGAAAGUGUGUGGCUGAGUCUGGAGCCACGGCCCCCACCCCCCAGCUACGUCUGUACCUGAAAAAACAACCAACUAGCCACGGUCAUCGGGCAUCGGGCAGGCAUUUUCUUGAAAAUGAGCAAAAUGAGCCUGUUGCUUUAAGGUAAACUUGCAGUAUUUGUUGCCAAUAACAAAAUUUGAGCUUUCAAGCAAAAAUUAGAAUUUUGGAAAACUUGUAUCCAUCACUGUGAGCUUCCCAGUCAGCACUUCAAGACUUUUCCGAGGAAGUUGGUGGUGAUAUUCGCA